rnacentral:piRNA from 1 species
UCUUGCGUAAAUGACUUUGAA